rnacentral:tRNA from 2 species
GCGCGAGUGGCGGAAUGGUAGACGCGCUGGCUUCAGGUGCCAGUGCCCUUUACGGGCGUGGAGGUUCAACUCCUCUCUCGCGCACAA